rnacentral:rRNA from 1 species
GGCAGCAGUAGGGAAUCUUCCGCAAUGGACGAAAGUCUGACGGAGCCACGCCGCGUGAGUGAUGAAGGCUUUCGGGUCGUAAAACUCUGUUGUUAGGGAAGAACAAGUGCUAGUUGAAUAAGCUGGCACCUUGACGGUACCUAACCAGAAAGCCACGGCUAACUACGUGCCAGCAGCCGCGGUAAUACGUAGGUGGCAGGCGUUAUCCGGAAUUAUUGGGCGUAAAGCGCGCGCAGGUGGUUUCUUAAGUCUGAUGUGAAAGCCCACGGCUCAACCGUGGAGGGUCAUUGGAAACUGGGAGACUUGAGUGCAGAAGAGGAAAGUGGAAUUCCAUGUGUAGCGGUGAAAUGCGUAGAGAUAUGGAGGAACACCAGUGGCGAAGGCGACUUUCUGGUCUGUAACUGACACUGAGCGCGAAAGCGUGGGGAGCAAACAGGAUUAGAUACCCUGGUAGUCCACGCCGUAAACGAUGAGUGCUAAGUGUUAGAGGGUUUCCGCCCUUUAGUGCUGAAGGUAACGCAUUAAGCACUCCGCCUGGGGAGUACGGCCGCAGGCUGAACU